AUCAAUAUUAUCAGCCAUCACAAGCCUUUGAAAACAACAUCCCCAUAUAAUAAUUACUCAUAUUAAUUGCAGGCCCCAUAUGGUGGUCUAUGGACCUCCAAAUGGUCCCCCCAUGCCACUUCCUGUGACAAAUCUCUUUAACUAGACCCAUCGUUGCUCCACUUUUGUCUAAUGCAUAUAAAAGAGCCUCUAUCCAUCUACCUAUUAUUCCAAGAAAAUAAAGCAGCUUGCAUAGAUA
rnacentral:misc_RNA from 1 species